rnacentral:rRNA from 1 species
CGGAAACGGCUGCUAAUACCGCAUACGCCCUACGGGGGAAAGCAGGGGAUCUUCGGACCUUGCGCUAUUGGAUGAGCCUAAGUCGGAUUAGCUAGUUGGUGAGGUAAAGGCUCACCAAGGCCACGAUCCGUAGCUGGUUUGAGAGGAUGAUCAGCCACAUCGGGACUGAGACACGGCCCGAACUCCUACGGGAGGCAGCAGUGGGGAAUAUUGGACAAUGGGGGCAACCCUGAUCCAGCCAUGCCGCGUGUGUGAAGAAGGCUUUCGGGUUGUAAAGCACUUUCAGCGAGGAGGAAGGCUCUAAAGCUAAUACCUUUAGGGAUUGACGUUACUCGCAGAAGAAGCACCGGCUAACUCCGUGCCAGCAGCCGCGGUAAUACGGAGGGUGCAAGCGUUAAUCGGAAUUACUGGGCGUAAAGCGCGCGUAGGUGGUUGAGUAAGCGAGAUGUGAAAGCCCCGGGCUUAACCUGGGAACGGCAUUUCGAACUGCUCGGCUAGAGUGUGGUAGAGGGUAGUGGAAUUUCCUGUGUAGCGGUGAAAUGCGUAGAUUUAGGAAGGAACACCAGUGGCGAAGGCGGCUACCUGGACCAACACUGACACUGAGGUGCGAAAGCGUGGGGGAGCAAACAGGAUAGAUACCCUGGUAGACCCCGCCGUAAACGAAUGUCAACUAG